GGAGGGCCAUUCACAAGGAGCAAUAAUGUUCAGCGGCCCUGUCCUCCUCCUGGCUCCCACUCUGGGGCCGGUCUGUCCUUUGCCUGGAGUUGACUGGUUGCCCCUCUUGAUUCCUUCUUCCUAAUCUCAGUUGUCAUGAGUGAAGCAGCCACUGGUUAAGAAGAAUGAGAAGUGUGUCCAAGUGCUCAUCUCAGGUUGUCACUCCUCUCCUGACCCCUCUCUCUUCAACUCCACAGAUCCUGGACACUUUGAGGACCAUUGUGUUAGCUGGCCUAAGCUUGGACCACCUUCCUGAAACUGAGUGGAAGUCAGUUCAUCACCUGGGCUGCUGGGUCCUCUAGUGUGGCACCAGGUUUUUAAGAGAUGUGAACAGUCUAAAUCCCUGAUAACUCCUGCUAUGGCUGCUGCAUGCCCGAGGUCAUCCCGAUCCUGCAGCGGCCAUGAACGGUUUCAACCCACAGCACCUGGCAAAGCUUGCCUGGCUCUGACUGCAUUUUCAGGAGGGCCAGGAAUCCCAGGCAGCUAGCAGCUUAGAAAAGAUUUGGUUUUAUUUUAGUAUGUGUGUUUAUGUGCAUGCCUGGGUUGAUGGUUGGCUUCAAGGACAAGAUGGUAUCCCCACUACUACACACUGGCAUCAUGUAGUCCCUAUGAUUGGGCACAUCCCUGAGGAGGUGGAAGAAUUCUGCACUGACUCAGUUGGACUUUUAUAUUCUUACAGUGAAAUGAUGGCCUCACACUGAAAUAAACUUGACUUCUGAUGCAAUGAGGCAAUCUUUGGGACUGGCACAGGACAUCGAGGACUAUGAUUCAUGCCUGCUGCACAUAUUACAAUAAAGUCCUUUUCUUCAGGA